UACGGAGGGGGCUGGCGUUGUUCGGAAUUACUGGGCGUAAAGCGCGCGUAGGCGGCUUUGUAAGUUAGAGGUGAAAGCCCGGGGCUCAACUCCGGAAUUGCCUUUAAAACUGCAUCGCUAGAAUUGUGGAGAGGUAAGUGGAAUUCCGAGUGUAGAGGUGAAAUUCGUAGAUAUUCGGAAGAACACCAGUGGCGAAGGCGACUUACUGGACACAUAUUGACGCUGAGGUGCGAAAGCGUGGGGAGCAAACAGG
rnacentral:rRNA from 1 species